CUAGUAAUCGUAGGUCAGCAUACUACGGUGAAUACGUUCCCGGGCCUUGUACACACCGCCCGUCAAACCAUGAGAGUUGGCAACACCCGAAGUCGGUAGUCUAACCGCAAGGAGGACGCCGCCGAAGGUGGGGUUNAUGAUUAGGGUUAAGUCGUAACAAGGUAUC
rnacentral:rRNA from 1 species